rnacentral:misc_RNA from 1 species
CACUUCCCCGCUGCGUAUAAUUGCACCGUUAAUGUCACCUCCCAAGGCGACGUCUUUAUGUUAAUAAGCAUCGCGGCCAUUCUUGCUCCUCCAAGCAGUCGACGUUCUCUCGAUUUUACGAGCAAACGAAAUAAAAAUCUAGCGUUCGUGAAAAGAAUUUUCCCGUCUUCCGCCCGCACUGCGUUCGCCAGAUGGCGUGUUAUCGCCGCGCUCUAUUCGAUCUUCUCGUACGACUGCACAAUUUUUUAUAAAAGUACGAUCGAACGGUAAAAAAGCAGUAAAUGUAAUAGAAAAAAGAAGAAGGUAGAAAAGACUACGAUCGUUCACAACACCGACACAUAAUUAGGAAGAGCACAAGAAUCAGGUUACACUGGACAUUACGUGCUGGGGCUUUGCUACGGUGAACGAUGUAUACGGAAAGAGAGCCGGUUGCUAACUGACGAUAACUGAUGCUUCGAUAGUCGAGCUAAGCUACGAGCUGCGAUCAUCU